rnacentral:rRNA from 1 species
CACGGGUGAGUAACACGUAUCCAACCUGCCGUCUACUCUUGGACAGCCUUCUGAAAGGAAGAUUAAUACAAGAUGGCAUCAUGAGUCCACAUGUUCACAUGAUUAAAGGUAUUCCGGUAGACGAUGGGGAUGCGUUCCAUUAGAUAGUAGGCGGGGUAACGGCCCACCUAGUCAACGAUGGAUAGGGGUUCUGAGAGGAAGGUCCCCCACAUUGGUACUGAGACACGGACCAA